rnacentral:rRNA from 1 species
UACGAAGGGGGCUAGCGUUGCUCGGAAUCACUGGGCGUAAAGGGCGCGUAGGCGGAUCUUUACGUCGGGGGUGAAAGCCCAGGGCUCAACCCUGGAAUUGCCUUCGAUACUGGAGAUCUUGAGACCGGAAGAGGUAAGUGGAACUGCGAGUGUAGAGGUGAAAUUCGUAGAUAUUCGCAAGAACACCAGUGGCGAAGGCGGCUUACUGGUCCGGUUCUGACGCUGAGGCACGAAAGCGUGGGGAGCAGACAGG